rnacentral:rRNA from 1 species
UACGGAGGGGGCUAGCGUUGUUCGGAAUUACUGGGCGUAAAGCGCACGUAGGCGGCUCUGCAAGUCGGACGUGAAAGCCCCGGGCUUAACCCGGGAAUUGCGUUUGAUACUGUUGGGCUUGAGACCGGGAGAGGAUAGCGGAAUUCCCAGUGUAGAGGUGAAAUUCGUAGAUAUUGGGAAGAACACCAGUGGCGAAGGCGGCUAUCUGGACCGGUACUGACGCUGAGGUGCGAAAGCGUGGGGAGCAAACAGG